rnacentral:rRNA from 1 species
AGUGAACGCUGGCGGUAGGCCUAACACAUGCAAGUCGAACGGCAGCACAGUAAGAGCUUGCUCUUACGGGUGGCGAGUGGCGGACGGGUGAGGAAUACAUCGGAAUCUACUUUUUCGUGGGGGAUAACGUAGGGAAACUUACGCUAAUACCGCAUACGACCUACGGGUGAAAGCAGGGGAUCUUCGGACCUUGCGCGAUUGAAUGAGCCGAUGUCGGAUUAGCUAGUUGGCGGGGUAAAGGCCCACCAAGGCGACGAUCCGUAGCUGGUCUGAGAGGGUGACCGGCCACAUUGGGACUGAGAUACGGCCCAGACGGCGACGGGAGGCAGCAGUGGGGAAUAUUGCACAAUGGGCGUAAGCCUGAUGCAGCAACGCCGCGUGCGGGAUGACGGCCUUCGGGUGGUAAACCGCUUUCGCCUGGGACGAAGCGUGAGGGACGCUACUGGGUAAAGAAACACCGGCUAACUACGUG